AUGGUUUUGUAACUUUUUGUACCCUGCGAAUAACCCCCUUAUCAGUUAAUUAUCUGAUAUGUCACCAUUGAGGGACUUAAUAUUAAACUACUUAUUGGAACAGGAAGAUGGGGUACAGAGCUUGCUCUACCCACUCUGCGCAUCAACUGGUAUUGCAUUGCACCUGGGACUGGUGCACCUUCU